CCCGUUAGACAUUGUGUGGCAGAGGGACCGGAGAAGGCCGAAUACGCCAAGGCCCGGAAGUGUUGGUUAACCGGGUUUCCAAAGGUAUUUCGAGGGUAGUUUAGAGAGUAACGGAGAAAAACGUCGUUUGAAGGCGUGAGGUACCGAAUACGGACCUCCUAACGGGCGGGAAAGUGGUAGAUGUCAGGGCUUCCCGAGAAAAGCUCUAAACACCAUAAACAAUGUCAGCCUGUACCCGAAACCGACACAGGUACGGGAGGUAGAGUAUACCAAAGGGGCGCGAGGAUAACUCUCUCUAAGGAACUCGGGCCAAAAUGGCCCCGUAACUUCGGGAGAAGGGGUACCUACGCAAGUAGGUCACAGUGAAGAGUCCCAGGCGACUGUUUACCAAAAACACAGGUCUCCGCAAAGUCGUAAGACGACGUAUGGGGGACUGACGCCUGCCCAGUGCCGAAGGUUAAGGAAGUUGGUUAGGGUAACCGAAGCUAAGCGACUGAAGCCCCGGUGAACGGCGGCCGUAACUAUAACGGUCCUAAGGUAGCGAAAUUCCUUGUCGGGUAAGUUCCGACCCGGCACGAAAGGCGUAACGAUCUGGGAGCUGUCUCGGAGAGAGACUCGGCGAAAUAGAAUUUGUCUGU
rnacentral:sRNA from 1 species